rnacentral:tRNA from 1 species
UCCCUGCUGUCUCAGUUGGUAAAGAAUCUGCCUGCAAUGUAGGAGACCCAGGUUCAAUCCUGAGAGGGGAA